rnacentral:rRNA from 1 species
ACACAUGCAAGUCGAGCGGAAACGACACUAACAAUCCUUCGGGUGCGUUAAUGGGCGUCGAGCGGCGGACGGGUGAGUAAUGCCUAGGAAAUUGCCUUGAUGUGGGGGAUAACCAUUGGAAACGAUGGCUAAUACCGCAUAAUGCCUACGGGCCAAAGAGGGGGACCUUCGGGCCUCUCGCGUCAAGAUAUGCCUAGGUGGGAUUAGCUAGUUGGUGAGGUAAUGGCUCACCAAGGCGACGAUCCCUAGCUGGUCUGAGAGGAUGAUCAGCCACACUGGAACUGAGACACGGUCCAGACUCCUACGGGAGGCAGCAGUGGGGAAUAUUGCACAAUGGGCGAAAGCCUGAUGCAGCCAUGCCGCGUGUAUGAAGAAGGCCUUCGGGUUGUAAAGUACUUUCAGUUGUGAGGAAGGGGGUAGCGUUAAUAGCGCUAUCUCUUGACGUUAGCAACAGAAGAAGCACCGGCUAACUCCGUGCCAGCAGCCGCGGUAAUACGGAGGGUGCGAGCGUUAAUCGGAAUUACUGGGCGUAAAGCGCAUGCAGGUGGUUCAUUAAGUCAGAUGUGAAAGCCCGGGGCUCAACCUCGGAACUGCAUUUGAAACUGGUGAACUAGAGUACUGUAGAGGGGGGUAGAAUUUCAGGUGUAGCGGUGAAAUGCGUAGAGAUCUGAAGGAAUACCAGUGGCGAAGGCGGCCCCCUGGACAGAUACUGACACUCAGAUGCGAAAGCGUGGGGAGCAAACAGGAUUA